GGAGCCCAUAGCUUCAUUUGACUCAAUACGGCAAUAGUCACCAGGUAUGGAUACAUUGAAGAAUGACGAACUUAGAGCUCUCUCUAGAUGUCAUGGGCGGUGGUGCAUGGAAGGUCAUGCUAUUUACUGUAGACUCUCAAAACAAUUCUACGUUGUGUCCAGAGAGUAUUUAGUGGCAAAUGCACUAC
rnacentral:rRNA from 1 species